rnacentral:rRNA from 1 species
AUUGAACGCUGGCGGAAUGCUUUACACAUGCAAGUCGAACGGUAGAGGGGCAACCCUUGAGAGUGGCGAACGGGUGAGUAAUGUAUCGGAACAUGCCCAGUCGUGGGGGAUAACGUAGCGAAAGUUACGCUAGUACCGCAUACGAUCUAUGGAUGAAAGCGGGGGAUCGCAAGACCUCGCGCGAGUGGAGUGGCCGAUAUCAGAUUAGGUAGUUGGUGGGGUAAAGGCCUACCAAGCCGACGAUCUGUAGCUGGUCUGAGAGGACGACCAGCCACACUGGGACUGAGACACGGCCCAGACUCCUACGGGAGGCAGCAGUGGGGAAUUUUGGACAAUGGGCGAAAGCCUGAUCCAGCCAUUCCGCGUGCAGGAAGAAGGCCUUCGGGUUGUAAACUGCUUUUGUACGGAACGAAACACGCUGUGCUAAUACCACGGCGUAAUGACGGUACCGUAAGAAUAAGCACCGGCUAACUACGUGCCAGCAGCCGCCGUAA